GACGAACGCUGGCGGCGUGCCUAAUACAUGCAAGUAGAACGCUGAAGAGAGGAGCUUGCUCUUCUUGGGUGAGUUGCGAACGGGUGAGUAACGCGUAGGUAACCUGCCUUGUAGCGGGGGAUAACUAUUGGAAACGAUAGCUAAUACCGCAUAACAAUGGAUGACACAUGUCAUUUAUUUGAAAGGGGCAAUUGCUCCACUACAAGAUGGACCUGCGUUGUAUUAGCUAGUAGGUGAGGUAACGGCUAACCUAGGCGACGAUACAUAGCCGACCUGAGAGGGUGAUCGGCCACACUGGGACUGAGACACGGCCCAGACUCCUACGGGAGGCAGCAGUAGGGAAUCUUCGGCAAUGGGGGCAACCCUGACCGAGCAACGCCGCGUGAGUGAAGAAGGUUUUCGGAUCGUAAAGCUCUGUUGUAAGUCAAGAACGAGUGUGAGAGUGGAAAGUUCACACUGUGACGGUAGCUUACCAGAAAGGGACGGCUAACUACGUG
rnacentral:rRNA from 1 species